CAAUAGCGUAUAUUUAAGUUGCUGCAGUUAAAAAGCUCGUAGUUGGAUUUCGGGUGGGAAUGGCCGGUCCGCCGUUUCGGUGUGCACUUGCUACGCCCACCUUGCUGCCGGGGACGUGCUCUUGAGUUCACGCUCGGGACACGGAGUCGGCGAGGUUACUUUGAGUAAAUUAGAGUGUUCAAAGCAGGCCUACGCUCUGAAUACAUUAGCAUGGAAUAACACGAUAGGACUCUGGCCUAUCUUGUUGGUCUGUAGGACCGGAGUAAUGAUUAAGAGGGACAGUCGGGGGCAUUCGUAUUUCAUUGUCAGAGGUGAAAUUCUUGGAUUUAUGAAAGACGAACUACUGCGAAAGCUUUUGCCAAGGAUGUUUUCAUUAA
rnacentral:rRNA from 1 species